AGCGAACGCUGGCGGCAGGCUUAACACAUGCAAGUCGAGCGGGCGUAGCAAUACGUCAGCGGCAGACGGGUGAGUAACGCGUGGGAACAUACCUCUUGGUUCGGAACAACACAGGGAAACUUGUGCUAAUACCGGAUAAGCCCUUACGGGGAAAGAUUUAUCGCCGAGAGAUUGGCCCGCGUCUGAUUAGCUAGUUGGUGAGGUAACGGCUCACCAAGGCGACGAUCAGAGCUGGUCUGAGAGGAUGAUCAGCCACAUUGGGACUGAGACACGGCCCAAACUCCUACGGGAGGCAGCAGUGGGAAUAUGGACAAUGGGCGCAAGCCUGAUCCAGCCAUGCCGCGUGAGUGAUGAAGGCCCUAGGGUGUAAAGCUCUUUGUGCGGGAAGAUAAUGACGGUACCGCAAGAAUAAGCCCCGGCUAACUUCGUGCCAGCCGCCGCU
rnacentral:rRNA from 1 species